GGUUGAUCCUGCCAGUAGUCAUAUGCUUGUCUCAAAGAUUAAGCCAUGCAUGUCUAAGUAUAAACACGUUAUACUGUGAAACUGCGAAUGGCUCAUUAAAUCAGUUAUAGUUUAUUUGAUGGUUUUUGCUACAUGGAUAACUGUGGUAAUUCUAGAGCUAAUACAUGCGUACAAGCCCCGACUUCUGGAAGGGGUGUAUUUAUUAGAUAAAAAUCAACACUGUUGGUGAAUCAUGAUAACUUCUCGGAUCGCAUGGCCUCGUGCUGGCGAUACUUCAUUCAAAUAUCUGCC
rnacentral:rRNA from 1 species